rnacentral:rRNA from 1 species
CCCUUUGGGGUGUGACUGCGUACCUUUUGUAUAAUGGGUCAGCGACUUAUAUUCUGUAGCAAGGUUAACCGAAUAGGGGAGCCGGAGGGAAACCGAGUCUUAAUUGGGCGUUAAGUUGCAGGGUAUAGACCCGAAACCCGGUGAUCUAGCCAUGGGCAGGUUGAAGGUUGGGUAACACUAACUGGAGGACCGAACCGACUAAUGUUGAAAAAUUAGCGGAUGACCUGUGGCUGGGGGUGAAAGGCCAAUCAAACCGGGAGAUAGCUGGUUCUCCCCGAAAGCUAUUUAGGUAGCGCCUCGUGAAUUCAUCUCCGGGGGUAGAGCACUGUUUCGGCUAGGGGGCCAUCCCGGCUUACCAACCCGAUGCAAACUGCGAAUACCGGAGAAUGUUAUCACGGGAGACACACGGCGGGUGCUAACGUCCGUCGUGAAGAGGGAAACAACCCAGACCGCCAGCUAAGGUCCCAAAGUCAUGGUUAAGUGGGAAACGAUGUGGGAAGGCCCAGACAGCCAGGAUGUUGGCUUAGAAGCAGCCAUCAUUUAAAGAAAGCGUAAUAGCUCACUGGUCGAGUCGGCCUGCGCGGAAGAUGUAACGGGGCUAAACCAUGCACCGAAGCUGCGGCAGCGACGCUGAUGCGUUGUUGGGUAGGGGAGCGUUCUGUAAGCCUGUGAAGGUGGCCUGUGAGGGUUGCUGGAGGUAUCAGAAGUGCGAAUGCUGACAUAAGUAACGAUAAAGCGGGUGAAAAGCCCGCUCGCCGGAAGACCAAGGGUUCCUGUCCAACGUUAAUCGGGGCAGGGUGAGUCGACCCCUAAGGCGAGGCCGAAAGGCGUAGUCGAUGGGAAACGGGUUAAUAUUCCCGUACUUGGUGUUACUGCGAAGGGGGGACGGAGAAGGCUAUGUUGGCCGGGCGACGGUUGUCCCGGUUUAAGCGUGUAGGUGUGUGUUCCAGGUAAAUCCGGUUCACUUUAACACUGAGGCGUGAUGACGAGGCACUACGGUGCUGAAGCAACAAAUGCCCUGCUUCCAGGAAAAGCCUCUAAGCAUCAGGUAACAUCAAAUCGUACCCCAAACCGACACAGGUGGUCAGGUAGAGAAUACCAAGGCGCUUGAGAGAACUCGGGUGAAGGAACUAGGCAAAAUGGUGCCGUAACUUCGGGAGAAGGCACGCUGACACGUAGGUGAAGUGAUUUACUCAUGGAGCUGAAGUCAGUCGAAGAUACCAGCUGGCUGCAACUGUUUAUUAAAAACACAGCACUGUGCAAACACGAAAGUGGACGUAUACGGUGUGACGCCUGCCCGGUGCCGGAAGGUUAAUUGAUGGGGUCAGCGCAAGCGAAGCUCCUGAUCGAAGCCCCGGUAAACGGCGGCCGUAACUAUAACGGUCCUAAGGUAGCGAAAUUCCUUGUCGGGUAAGUUCCGACCUGCACGAAUGGCGUAAUGAUGGCCAGGCUGUCUCCACCCGAGACUCAGUGAAAUUGAACUCGCUGUGAAGAUGCAGUGUACCCGCGGCAAGACGGAAAGACCCCGUGAACCUUUACUAUAGCUUGACACUGAACAUUGAGCCUUGAUGUGUAGGAUAGGUGGGAGGCUUUGAAGUGUGGACGCCAGUCUGCAUGGAGCCGGCCUUGAAAUACCACCCUUUAAUGUUUGAUGUUCUAACGUGGACCCGUGAUCCGGGUUGCGGACAGUGUCUGGUGGGUAGUUUGACUGGGGCGGUCUCCUCCUAAAGAGUAACGGAGGAGCACGAAGGUUGGCUAAUCCUGGUCGGACAUCAGGAGGUUAGUGCAAUGGCAUAAGCCAGCUUGACUGCGAGCGUGACGGCGCGAGCAGGUGCGAAAGCAGGUCAUAGUGAUCCGGUGGUUCUGAAUGGAAGGGCCAUCGCUCAACGGAUAAAAGGUACUCCGGGGAUAACAGGCUGAUACCGCCCAAGAGUUCAUAUCGACGGCGGUGUUUGGCACCUCGAUGUCGGCUCAUCACAUCCUGGGGCUGAAGUAGGUCCCAAGGGUAUGGCUGUUCGCCAUUUAAAGUGGUACGCGAGCUGGGUUUAGAACGUCGUGAGACAGUUCGGUCCCUAUCUGCCGUGGGCGCUGGAGAACUGAGGGGGGCUGCUCCUAGUACGAGAGGACCGGAGUGGACGCAUCACUGGUGUUCGGGUUGUCAUGCCAAUGGCACUGCCCGGUAGCUAAAUGCGGAAGAGAUAAGUGCUGAAAGCAUCUAAGCACGAAACUUGCCCCGAGAUGAGUUCUCCCUGAGACUUUAGGUCUCCUGAAGGAACGUUGAAGACGACGACGUUGAUAGGCCGGGUGUGUAAGCGCAGCGAUGCGUUGAGCUAACCGGUACUAAUGAACCGUGAGGCUUAACCUUACA